CUCGGAUACAGCUCGUCGAAGAAAUCAACACGUCGCAAACGUUACAAGAAAAUAUAUUUCUACACCAGUACCGACCGAUGUGGCUGUUAUUUAGCUGUUGAUGUCUAUCCUAAAGGAUUUAUUUAAUACUGAGAUGUGUAACGAGAUAUAGAGAUCUUUUGAUUUCUGAAAUAUCGCAAACUAUGUUGCUUUGUAAACAAUGCUAAUCGGACUGCUGAAACUUCAGAACCAUCCUCAGAGAUACGAAAAACCAGAAUCUGUUGAAACUUGAUGCUCAAGAAAUACGGUAAAAUAAUCCGACAAUAGCCUACUCAAAGAUAAGUGAAAGACUCGUCUGUGCGUGUAUGUUACAAAUACGAAUACUGUAUAUGUUUGACAUUUAGGACAUUUAGAGAAUACAGUCCGCAUGAUAAAAUUGAUAAAUAGCUUUAAUUGUGACAUUAGCUUUACUGUAAUGAAAUUACUUUACUGUAAUAAAGUACUUUGUGAAAUAUAAUACUGAAUCAAACUCUAAGA